UGGGGAAUAUUGCACAAUGGGCGGAAGCCUGAUGCAGCGACGCCGCGUGGGGGAUGAAGGCCUUCGGGUUGUAAACUCCUUUCGACCGGGACGAAGCUUUUGUGACGGUACCUGUAUAAGAAGCACCGGCUAACUACGUGCCAGCAGCCGCUGUAAUACGUAUGGUGCGAGCGUUGUCCGGAAUUACUGGGCGUAAAGAGCUCGUAGGUGGUUUGUCGCGUCGUCUGUGAAAUUCCGGGGCUUAACUCCGGGCGUGCAGGCGAUACGGGCUGAAUUGAGUGCUGUAGGGGAGACUGGAAUUCCUGGGGGAGCGGUGAAAUGCGCAGAUAUCAGGAGGAACACCGAUGGCGAAGGCAGGUCUCUGGGCAGUAACUGACGCUGAGGAGCGAAAGCAUGGGUAGCGAACAGG
rnacentral:rRNA from 1 species